rnacentral:rRNA from 1 species
AUUGAACGCUGGCGGCAUGCCUUACACAUGCAAGUCGAACGGGCUUUUGGGGCUUGCUCCAAAAGUUAGUGGCGAACGGGUGAGUAAUAUAUCGGAACGUGCCCUAGAGUGGGGGACAACAAGUCGAAAGAUUGGCUAAUACCGCAUACGAUCUAAGGAUGAAAGUGGGGGACCUUCGGGCCUUCUGCUCCUGGAGCGGCCGAGAACUGUUUAGCUAGUUGGUGGGGUAAAGGCCCACCAAGGCGACGAUCAGUAGCUGGUCUGAGAGGACGAUCAGCCACACUGGGACUGAGACACGGCCCAGACUCCUACGGGAGGCAGCAGUGGGGAAUUUUGGACAAUGGGCGCAAGCCUGAUCCAGCAAUGCCGCGUGAGUGAAGAAGGCCUUCGGGUUGUAAAGCUCUUUUGUCAGGGAAGAAACGGUGGGGGCUAAUAUCCUCUGCUAAUGACGGUACCUGAAGAAUAAGCACCGGCUAACUACGUGCCAGCCGCCGCGGUAA